rnacentral:rRNA from 1 species
GCCAGCAGCCAUAUCACUCUACAGGUGUGAGCCUGGUCAGUACCUGGAUGGGAGACCUCCUGGGAAAAACUAAGGUUGCUGCUGGAA